rnacentral:rRNA from 1 species
AAUGAACGCUGGCGGCAUGCCUUACACAUGCAAGUCGAACGGCAGCAUGACCUAGCUUGCUAGGUUGAUGGCGAGUGGCGCACGGGUGAGUAAUGCAUCGGAACAUGCCUUUUAGUGGGGGAUAACGUAGCGAAAGUUACGCAAAUACCGCAUAUUCUCUGAGGAGGAAAGCAGGGGACCUUCGGGCCUUGCGCUAGAAGAGCGGCCGAUGUCGGAUUAGCUAGUUGGUGAGGUAAAGGCUCACCAAGGCAACGAUCCGUAGCGGGUCUGAGAGGAUGAUCCGCCACACUGGGACUGAGACACGGCCCAGACUCCUACGGGAGGCAGCAGUGGGGAAUUUUGGACAAUGGGCGCAAGCCUGAUCCAGCCAUGCCGCGUGAGUGAAGAAGGCCUUCGGGUUGUAAAGCUCUUUCGGCUGGGAAGAAAUCGCACCCUCUAAUACAGGGUGUGGAUGACGGUACCAGCAUAAGAAGCACCGGCUAACUACGUG